rfam:Brassica napus, WGS project CCCW01000000 data, contig: 2639
AAUGGCAAGUGAUGAGUAUUUUAUCUUAUUCUACACACAGAUUUAUCAGUGUUGACAAACAAUCUCUAUUUAUUAUCUGAUGCCAUA